rfam:Ovis aries breed Texel chromosome 8, whole genome shotgun sequence.
UCCCUGGUGGCUCAGAUGGUAAAGAAUCUGCCUGGGAUGCAGAACACCCAGGUUUGAUCCCUGGGUUGGGAA